CACUCUUCGUGUGCCAGAGAUGGGAUUAGUUUUUCUCGCCGGUCGAAGUAAACCGUUUCGCGAAAGAUUUAAACAACAGUUACUGUGGUUGGACUGUGUGGAGCACAUUUUCAUCUCAUCACUUUCAGGUUCAGAUCCCCAGAUCCGGAGUGGCGGAGACGAGCGCCGUGAGGCGUCCAGUGCAGACAUAACGUGAUACAAACCUGAGAUGAACCAGCGAGCUGCAAUAGCAGAGUGGAGCUGGAGAUGUUAUCUGGGUUUUCGUCACUUACUCCAGCCCCCGACAACAAGGGCUGCUGAAUCCCUCCCAUCAUUCAAGAAGGUCUCAGACCCAUUUCUACCCUGAUCUUCUCCAUAAUGCGUCCGACACCAUCUGCUAUGAGUAUUUUUGUAUUUACUGUUUUAAUGUCACUUCUAUAGGCAGCUACUUGAGGGGUGUGAACCACCAAUAUGGUGGUGUCAGAUAGACAAUCCUACAUUUGUGUUGAAGCUCUUUGUUUUUGGUACACUUUUGUUUGCUUAAACACCACUUUGGAGAAAAGCACCUGCCAAAUACAUGAAUGUUAUUCAAAGUAUGCAAGUGUUGCAGUAAUCCACGUGUCCACAUGUUGGCCUGGCGUUUGUCUGAAAGUGUAUUUCAUUUCCAGUGGAAUGGGAUGUGUGUGAAGAACACUGAGGGCCAGAGCCACAGCUGUCCUGCAGUCUCAUUCUGUGAGGUAGGUGCAGGGGGUCUGAUACCAUGUUUGACCACACAAAGCUCCCUGACCCCUGAGGCUGUGUGUGCUGACUGAACAAAGGCAGGGUGUGCAGUGCUGGUCCUUCUGCCACAGACGUGCUGCCUGUAAUCCCACAUGGUAUGCGAAAGGAUACCCAAAGUACCGAGACAGGAGAAAACCCCCAGGAAGUCCCGCUCCGAGGAGAAUAAGACAGACGGGCAGGUCACACACGUUCCCACAAAAGAGCACACAAGCUUGG